GAUUAGAGAGACACUGGAAGCACUAGACAAUGUAAGAACAGGUCUGGCGGCUCCGCAAGGGCAUCACAAAGCUCGGCAUGGGGCUUUCAACAACCAGAGAGCAAUGAAACUCGGUGAUGGCGGCGGCGGCUUGCUCUUGUGUUCACCGAGUUCCAAAACGGCGUCGGGGAGCAGGUUGAUUGCCUCUGGACGCUUGUAGAUGGAAAUAGAGACGCGGUGAGGAAAGGCCAAGGCUAAAACAGGCUCGGGAAAAAUCAAAUCCCGUGGAAAACGGGAUUGGCUCGGUCCCAAUACGGUGGGGAAACCUGCUUGGUCACGUUCCAGGAAGAAGAAGGGAGUUGGUGACGCUGACGUGCGGGCCCAGAGUGGCAGUGGGAAGAAGAGAAGGGAAGCUCGGCUUGGGCUGGCCUGUUGCGUUUUGGGCCGAAGAGGAGAGGGGAAGGUUUUUUUUCCUUUUUUCUUUUGCUUGUUCUCUUUUUAUUUCAAAGCCUUUUCAAAACAAUUUAAAAUCAGUUUGAAAAUAUUUUGACUUUGCCCAAAUUCACACAAUACAACGAAAAUAAAUGCUCCAAAAUGAAUGCACAAACAUAUUGCU
rnacentral:lncRNA from 1 species